GAAAUGCGAUACGUAAUAUGAUGAAUUGCAGAAUUCAGUGAAUCAUCGAAUCUUUGAACGCAUCUUGCGCCCUUUGGCAUUCCGAAGGGCACACCCGUUUGAGUGUCGUGACAUUCUCAAACCUUCUUGGUUUCUUGACCGAGAAGGCUUUGGACUUUGGAGGCUUUUGCUGGACCUUCUCUUGUUGAAGCCAGCUCCUCUUAAAUGAAUUAGUGGGGUCUGCUUUGCUGAUCCUUGACGUGAUAAGAUAAUUCUACUACGUCUUGGGUUUGGCACGGUUUGCUCUAGAUCCUGCUUCUAACCGUCUUGUAGAAGACAAAAGGUCGACUUGACCGACAAACCUUGACCUCAAAUCGGGUGAGACUACCCGCUGAACUUAA
rnacentral:rRNA from 1 species